ensembl:lncRNA
AUCCAGUCCAACCAUCCGCCCUUCACCAAUGGUUCUUGCUAAACCAUGUCCCUCAACACAACAUCCAAACGCUCUUUAAACACCACCAGGUUCGGUGACUUCACCACCUCCCUGGGCAGCCCAUUCCAGUGCCUGACCACCCUUUCAGAGAAGCAGUAUUUCCUAACGUCCAGCCUGAAUCUUCCCUGACGCAGCUUGAAGCCAUUCCCUCUCGUCCUAUCACUGUCACACGAGAGAAGAGGCUGACCCCCAGCUCACCACAACCUCCCUUCAGGUCAUCAAUAAAGAUAUGAAACAGGACAGGCCCCAGCACCGACCCCUGGGGAACACCACUCGUGACCGGUCGCCAGCUGGAUUUAACUCCAUUCACCACCACUCUCUGGGCCCGGCCCUCCAGCCAGUUCCUUACCCAGCGAAGAAUGUAUCUGUCCAAGCCACAAUCUGCCAGCUUCUGCAGGAGAAUACUGUGCAAGACAGUGUCAAAGGCUUUGCUGAAGUCUAGGUAGACCACAUCAACAGCCUUUCCCUCAUCCAGCAGACGGGUCACUAGAUCAUAGAAGGAGAUCAGGUUGGUCAAGCAGGACCUGCCCUUCGUGAACCCAUGCUGGCUAGGCCUGAUCCCCCGGUUGUCCCGCACGUGCCGCGUGAUCUCCCUCAAGACAAUCUGCUCCAUAAUCUUCCCCGGCACCGAGGUCAGGCUAACAGGCCUGUAGUUCCCUGGAUCCUCCCUGCAGCCCUUCUUGUAGAUGGGAGUCACACUGGCAAGCCUCCAGUCUUCUGGGACCUCACCCGUCAACAAGGAGCGCUGAUAGAUGAUGGAAAGCAGCUCGGCUAUCUCCUCCACCUGUUCCCUCAGCACUCUCGGGUGAAUCUCAUCCGGUCCCAUGGACUUGUGGCAGUCCAGUUGGAGUAGCAGGUCUCUGACUGUUUCCUCCUGAAUCGUGGGGGGUUUAGUCUGCUCCCCAGCCAAGGCUGCCAGGUCAGGGAGUAGAGAAACCUGAGGAUAACUGGUCUGUCUUUUAAAGACAGAUGUAAAGAAGGCAUUCAGAACAUCUGCCUUUUCCUUAUCCUCAGUGGUUACAUUGCCAGCCUCAUCCAGUAGAGAAUGGA